CAACUCUGGAAAGUCGGGUUUGACCCGCGCCGAAGGUGUAAGUGGAGGGGUAAGCCUUUCACGAGUCUCUCAGGCUUGCGACAGAGGGGU
rnacentral:ncRNA from 2 species